rnacentral:pre_miRNA from 1 species
AGCCUUUUGUAUCCGUGUUGAGAUUUCAUCACCAAUCAGUCUAUUAUGGCUGAAGCAACUUCCCAAAUAAGUGAAGUG